CACGCAUACGCACAAAUACACACCUGGGGUGGAGGAUCUUGGAUCUAUGCAGAGAGUUGUCCAAAGGAGAAACCGAAGUCAUUUUUUUAAACCAUCAGAUAAGAUCUCAUUAUCAUGGGAAAGGAAGACCACAGCCAACAACAUAUCACUUCUCCUAUAACAAGAACAAAGAUCACAUCUGAACUCUUACUUGAACCUUCAUGUAUUUGAUCAAAGUCUCUUUGAAACCUAUUUCUGAGAUGUUAGCCAUCCUGCACACUUUGCACUGUGCAUGCCGUCACUCCACGCAAUGCCAGUGAAUGCUGCCAGAAACACCUCAGCUCAGAUUCAAGACUACUGUAUGUUAUGAAUUGCAAUACAUAGUUAUGUUAUGUACAUAGUACAUGUUAUGAAUUACUGUACAUAGAAAGUUUUCUGC
rnacentral:lncRNA from 1 species